rnacentral:rRNA from 1 species
UAGGAUUCCCUAAGUAGCGGCGAGCGAACAGGGAAGAGCCCAGCGCCGAAUCCCGCGUCCGGUCACGGGCGCCGGGAAAUGUGGCGUUAGGGAGGACGAUAUGUUUCGAGUUCGUGCGGCGAGUCCAAGUCCUUCUUGAACGAGGCCACCGCCCAUAGAGGGUGCCAGGCCCGUAGCGACCGCUGCCGGAUGCGAAACGAUCUCUCCUUAGAGUCGGGUUGCUUGAGAUUGCAGCCCUAAGUGGGUGGUAAACUCCAUCUAAGGCUAAAUAUGACCACGAGACCGAUAGCGAACAAGUACCGUGAGGGAAAGUUGAAAAGAACUUUGAAGAGAGAGUUCAAUAGUACGUGAAACCGUUCAGGGGUAAACCUGAGAAACCCGAAAGGUCGAACGGGGAGAUUCACCGCGGCUCGCGGUCGAGACUCGGCGCUCGUGCGACUGACGGCCCCCGGGUCGUCUGCGCCUUGCGCCCCGUUCCGUCGACUGUGAACGCGUGCACUUCUCCCCUAGUAGGACGUCGCGAUCCGUUGGGCGCCGGUCUAAGGACUGCGGAGGAGACCGGACGGAACGUUCUGCGUUCGCCGUCCGGACCCGCGGAUCCCCGGCCGGCUCGCUCGACGGUAGCCGUGAGGCGCUGGGCCGCGACUUCAGCUCGCGUCCGGCCCGCAGCAAGCGCGCCGUGCGAUCCGGCGAUCGGACUUCGUCCGUUUCCGGUCCUCGGUGGCUGUUCGCCGCGGUGUUCUCGGACAGACCCAGUUGAAACGCCGAUCUGCGACGACGAAGCUUUGGGUACUUUCAGGACCCGUCUUGAAACACGGACCAAGGAGUCUAGCAUGUGCGCGAGUCAUUGGGACACGACUAAACCUAAAGGCGCAAUGAAAGUAAAAGUCCGCCUCGCGCGGACCCAGGGAAGAUGGGCGUCGGUCUCGUGCCGCGCUCCGCAUUCCCGGGGCGUCUCGUUCUCAUCGCGAGAAGAGGCGUACCAAGAGCGUACACGCUGGGACCCGAAAGAUGGUGAACUAUGCCUGGUCAGGACGAAGUCAGGGGAAACCCUGAUGGAGGUCCGUAGCGAUUCUGACGUGCAAAUCGAUCGUCGGAACUGGGUAUAGGGGCGAAAGACUAAUCGAACCAUCUAGUAGCUGGUUCCCUCCGAAGUUUCCCUCAGGAUAGCUGGCGCUCGUCGUGUACGAGUCUCAUCCGGUAAAGCGAAUGAUUAGAGGCAUUGGGGCCGAAACGGCCUCAACCUAUUCUCAAACUUUAAAUGGGUGAGAUCUCCGGCUUGCUUGAACCGAUGAAGCCGCGAGAUACGGAUCAGAGUGCCAAGUGGGCCAUUUUUG